rnacentral:rRNA from 1 species
AUGGGCACGUGCAGGCGGCAGCUCGCCUCCACCAGUGGGCGGCUGCAGAGCACCAGCUCGCCACCACCAGCGGGCGGCAGCAGAGCACCACCUGGGCACGCGCGGGCCAGGAGGGGCUCCUUGGCGUGGGAGAGGAGGAGCGCCUGGGAAAGGGUGGAGGCGGAAGUGGAGGGCGGGGGGCGGGGGCGGAAGACGCCGAGGAAGAAAACGGGCUGA